AGGAUGGCGGCGGCUAUACAUGCAGUCGAACGAGUUCUCGUUGAUGAUCGGUGCUUGCACCGAGAUUCAACAUGGAACGAGUGGCGGACGGGUGAGUAACACGUGGGUAACCUGCCCUUAAGUGGGGGAUAACAUUUGGAAACAGAUGCUAAUACCGCAUAGAUCCAAGAACCGCAUGGUUCUUGGCUGAAAGAUGGCGUAAGCUAUCGCUUUUGGAUGGACCCGCGGCGUAUUAGCUAGUUGGUGAGGUAAUGGCUCACCAAGGCGAUGAUACGUAGCCGAACUGAGAGGUUGAUCGGCCACAUUGGGACUGAGACACGGCCCAAACUCCUACGGGAGGCAGCAGUAGGGAAUCUUCCACAAUGGACGCAAGUCUGAUGGAGCAACGCCGCGUGAGUGAAGAAGGCUUUCGGGUCGUAAAACUCUGUUGUUGGAGAAGAAUGGUCGGCAGAGUAACUGUUGUCGGCGUGACGGUAUCCAACCAGAAAGCCACGGCUAACUACGUGCCAGCAGCCGCGGUAAUACGUAGGUGGCAAGCGUUAUCCGGAUUUAUUGGGCGUAAAGCGAGCGCAGGCGGUUUUUUAAGUCUGAUGUGAAAGCCCUCGGCUUAACCGAGGAAGCGCAUCGGAAACUGGGAAACUUGAGUGCAGAAGAGGACAGUGGAACUCCAUGUGUAGCGGUGAAAUGCGUAGAUAUAUGGAAGAACACCAGUGGCGAAGGCGGCUGUCUGGUCUGUAACUGACGCUGAGGCUCGAAAGCAUGGGUAGCGAACAGGAUUAGAUACCCUGGUAGUCCAUGCCGUAAACGAUGAAU
rnacentral:rRNA from 1 species